rnacentral:rRNA from 1 species
AGCUGACGGAGCACGCCGCGUGAGUGAUGAAGGUCUUCGGAUCGUAAAACUCUGUUAUUAGGGAAGAACAAAUGUGUAAGUAACUAUGCACGUCUUGACGGUACCUAAUCAGAAAGCCACGGCUAACUACGUGCCAGCAGCCGCGGUAAUACGUAGGUGGCAAGCGUUAUCCGGAAUUAUUGGGCGUAAAGCGCGCGUAGGCGGUUUUUUAAGUCUGAUGUGAAAGCCCACGGCUCAACCGUGGAGGGUCAUUGGAAACUGGAAAACUUGAGUGCAGAAGAGGAAAGUGGAAUUCCAUGUGUAGCGGUGAAAUGCGCAGAGAUAUGGAGGAACACCAGUGGCGAAGGCGACUUUCUGGUCUGUAACUGACGCUGAUGUGCGAAAGCGUGGGGAUCAAACAGGAUUAGAUACC